AACUUUCAACAACGGAUCUGUUGGUUCUCGCAUCGAUGAAGAACGCAGCGAAAUGCGAUAAGUAGUGUGAAUUGCAGAAUUCAGUGAAUCAUCGAAUCUUUGAACGCACAUUGCGCCCUCUGGUAUUCCGGAGGGCAUGCCUGUCCGAGCGUCGUC
rnacentral:rRNA from 1 species